GAUGAACGCUGGCGGCGUGCCUAAUACAUGCAAGUCGAGCGAACAGACGAGGAGCUUGCUCCUCUGACGUUAGCGGCGGACGGGUGAGUAACACGUGGAUAACCUACCUAUAAGACUGGGAUAACUUCGGGAAACCGGAGCUAAUACCGGAUAAUAUAUUGAACCGCAUGGUUCAAUAGUGAAAGACGGUUUUGCUGUCACUUAUCGAUGGAUCCGCGCCGCAUUAGCUAGUUGGUAAGGUAACGGCUUACCAAGGCAACGAUGCGUAGCCGACCUGAGAGGGUGAUCGGCCACACUGGAACUGAGACACGGUCCAGACUCCUACGGGAGGCAGCAGUAGGGAAUCUUCCGCAAUGGGCGAAAGCUUGACGGAGCAACGCCGCGUGAGUGAUGAAGGUCUUCGGAUCGUAAAACUCUGUUAUUAGGGAAGAACAAAUGUGUAAGUAACUAUGCAUGUCUUGACGGUACCUAAUCAGAAAGCCACGGCUAACUACGUG
rnacentral:rRNA from 1 species